rnacentral:rRNA from 1 species
GUACAGCUCAGUAACACGUGGCUAACCUACCCUUGGGACGGGAACACUCCCGGGAAACCACGCACAGACCUUGACCACAUAAACACAAAUUCUCAAAAAAUCCAAAAACCCCAUAACAUAAACAAACACUUCACUACACCGCCUUGCCGAUUUCUAAGCUGGCAAAGGCUAUCUCAAACUAACCAAAACCUACACGCAACUUUCUAAGAAUAGAAACUUAAGGCUCUGGCGUAGCCCAAAACUGGGGUUAAUUCCCGAUGGGUGAGGAGGCCUGGAAUGGUUCUUCACUGAAAGGGCGCUAGAGGCAUGCUCUCUAACGUUGCCCAAGGAUGGGGCCGCGGCCGAUCAGGUUGUUGGUGAGGUAACGGCUUACCAAGCCUAUAACCGGUACGGGCCGUGAGAGCGGAAGCCCGGAGAUGGGCACUGAGAUAAGGGCCCAGGCCCUACGGGGCGCAGCAGUUGCGAAAACUCCGCAAUGCACGAAAGUGUGACGGGGCUACCCCGAGUGCCGUCCGCUGAGGAUGGCUUUUCUCCGCUGUAAGGAGGCGGAGGAAUAAGGAGAGGGCAAGACUGGUGUCAGCCGCCGCGGUAAUACCAGCUCUCCGAGUGGUAGGGGUGAUUAUUGGGCUUAAAGCGUCCGUAGCCGGCCUGGCAAGUCUUCCGUUAAAUCCAGCAACCUAAUUGUUGGGCUGCGGGGGAUACUGUUAGGCUUGGGGGCGGGAGAGG